UACGUAGGGUGCGAGCGUUAAUCGGAAUUACUGGGCGUAAAGCGUGCGCAGGCGGUUUUGUAAGCCAGAUGUGAAAUCCCCGGGCUCAACCUGGGAAUGGCAUUUGGGACUGCAAAGCUGGAGUGCGGCAGAGGGGACUGGAAUUCCUGGUGUAGCAGUGAAAUGCGUAGAGAUCAGGAGGAAUACCGAUGGCGAAGGCAGGUCUCUGGGCAUUAACUGACGUGAGGAGCGAAAGCAUGGGGAGCGAACAGGA
rnacentral:rRNA from 1 species